GUAUAAGGUUCAAUUCCGGGCAAAAGUGAUUUAUUAGACAAUUAUGGAGAAUACGGAAAAAACUUACAAGUGAUAUUCAUCAUGAUGCAAAUAAAUCCGGUCAGACGUGGAUUUUCAUAAGACGUCUCAAGUGACACAAUUAAGUGUAGAUCUUCAUAAAGCAUAUAGUAUUGUCGGUUGUCGAAUCGUCUAUUUAAUAUUUCUCAUAAUUGUAAUAUCAUAAUAAAUUAGCGUUAAAAAUAAACUUUAUAACAUGUCUUAUCUUUUUCACGUACAUAUAGAUUGUGGUUGGGACAUUUGGAGUAAAUAAGAGGAAAUAAAUAAAAAUGGAAAAGAAAGUAGAAUAAAUAUUUAUCAUAGUUUAGUUAUCGUUGUAAAAAAAAAUAGAGUAAAUAUAUAUUGCUGUUCGAAGUAGAAUAAAUUUGUUUUGUGUAUUAGAACAUCUUCAUCAAUAGUAUGAGGGCCGAGGUUUUAAAAAGUUAUUAAUUGCUAAUCUAACAAUAAUAAAAGAGGAAUAAGAUCAACAUGUAAGCUGUCCACAUAAGCAUAAAAAAUCAACCUAUCACAAAGCUUUAAGUUGCCACAUCAGCUCGACCUGUCCUACUUCUUCGUUGCGAACAAGUUGAUGAUUGAAACUAAUCGUCUCUUCAUCUUUCUUUUCAUUUCAAUGCAUCAUUUAAUUAUAGUCUGUUUGUCUCCCUCUCCACUUCAAAUCCCUAAAUCCCCAAGCAUCACCCUAUCUAUUGUAUUCCCGUCUCUCUCUGUCAACGGCUCCACAUUCUGGAAAUCAAAACCCACCGCAUCCAUGGCUAACAACAAGGCAAAAUCAACUGUUUUUCAGAAAAAAGAAUCUAUACAUACAAAAAGUAAAAAUUUUAAUAGUAUUCUAUGUUGUUUAUGUAUACUUUAUAUUAUUUUCUGUUUGUAGCUUAUGACAAAAGCUAUGAAUCAUGAACUGUGACAAGGUGAAGUAUUUAGUGGACAGAGGCUGCGUUUUGGGAAUCAUAGCAAGGAUUCUCAACAAUGGCGGCCACUCCUUCUCACAGCCUUCUCACGAAGAACUAUCACUGUCGUUCAAAACCACCAGCUCCCUGAACCUUUGUUCAUUCAUCUUCUGGAGAAAAGAUCCCGAGUAGCUACGAAAGCUUCUCUCUCUAGAACCAACGAGGCAUUUUUAUCCGCCGUCAUCUCCAGGCUCGAGCGUGAACAGCAAGGAUUAACCGACGGCAGUGGAGAACAGUGGCAUACGGCGGAGGAUUUCCGCCGGCGCGAUAAGAAAACCGAGGAAGAGAGGAGGCUUAGAGACACGUGGCGUAAGAUCCAAGGAGAAGACGAUUGGGCCGGGUUAACGGACCCGAUGGACCCGGUUCUCAGAUCGGAGAUGAUCCGGCGAAAUGGCUCAGGCCUGUUACGACGCCUUCGACUUCGAUCCUUCCUCGACGGCAACCCACGUCGAGUGUAAUCUUCACUUUGGUCACACAUUGGGUCUGUUGAUUUUUGAAAGUAUUUGACCUUACAUUAGUUCUGUGUUUUGAUUUAGGUUGGCCUCUAAAGGUAUAAUGUCUCCAUUUAGAUCCGACGUGGGUUGCUGGUUCGAUGAGGCUCUGAGAACUCAAGCAGUGCUAUUGGAGGCAGGCUUUCUGAAUAUCUUUGGUCAGUGUCAAGUUUCUUGAUCUCUUAUGGAUGCAGUUUUUAUACUUUUUUGCUAUGUACAGAGAAAUGAGUUCUUAUAAGCAUUGUUCUAUUGGAUCAACACUCACACCUGAUGCAAAAUGAUAUUUUUUGUAAACAUCAAUUUUUUACUGCACGUCCAAGGUAUAAUACAAUCUCGCAAGAUCCAUAUAUGCAUGUUGGUUAACGUCAAGAUUUCUAACUGCAAAUUUGUGGAGAAUGUUUUUUCGAACAUUGGUAGACUAAUAUUUUAUAUGGAGAGGAGAAAGCGAGUGCAAUUGUUGCUUCAUAUUAUUGCCAUUAGUUCAAUGCAGCUAUAUGGAGAGGAGCAGGUGACUGCAAUUGCAAGCAAGAAGCUCACCUGAGAAGGCAGUUAGUUCAUCACAAUGUCAGUAGAAAGUAGAAGCUGACCAGAAGAAAGAAGGUGAUGAUGAAAUCUACCUGCGAUCAAUAGCCCCAUGAGACCAACAUCCUUGAGAGGAACACUCUGCACUCUCUCGCUUCAAAGCUAACAACAAAUCUCUAAGAUGCAAGAAGUACAUCAGAUAUGAAUCAUGCAAGCAGGACAAGAGUCAGGGGAAGUAUCACUAAGGCAGAUCCAUGAUGAUGAUAGAUUUUGAUAAAAGGUUAGUGGAUUUACUUAGUUACGUAACAGCAGAUUUUGGUUGUAGUAGUUAUGUAACUUUCACAUUUACUCUCUUCAUAUUUAAAUGCCUCUUUCGCUUCAUUCAUCGUCCCUUUAAGUUAGCCUUCAGGCACUUAAAUCGCACAGACACAGCUAGGCUUUGUGGUCUCAGUAGCGAUUGCGGUUUGCAUUUUGUGCUCUCCGCAGGCCAGUCUCCCUUACAUCUACGUAGAAAGCCGCAUUGGUUCUCAGUGUCUCAUGGAUCCCAUUACACCUUGCACUUGAAAAGGAACAAAAAAAAUUCAAGAAAUAAGGAAGAAGAGCAGAAGUUGUGUCAUGCUGUUUUGGCUGCUAAUCAUUUCAUGUGUAUGGGUGCGAGCAAGGUAAUUCUCGCUAAUUGUAUGUUUUUGUGCUUUGCAUCAUCCUG